GAGGGGGGGGGGGGGGGGGGGGGGAAACACCUUAAGAUAGAACCUCCUUGAGUGUUGCACAGAGGAUGUUGCGUUUCCUCAUCUGCCCAGCUUCCUCAUGCUGAUCUCUUGUGUUCACUUCAUCUCUCUCACAUGCCUCUCUUCUGUUCUGCGCUCUCGUGAUCGGAUCCUCUCCGGUUCUACACAUGGAGGGUCGGAACCGUUAGGAACUCGUACGACUCGUCGUGGUCUACCGGUGGAAGAUGGUAUUUUAUGAACAUCACAUUUUCAUGAUUCUCCUCCUGAUAACCUGCACCUACUCCUUUGGUAUGGCCGAUGGAUCUGACCCCAGACCUGUCAGCGGCCCUCCAGCCCCUCCCCCUCCGGUGCCUUCUCUCACGCAGCUGCUGUCCGUCGGGGACAGGCUUGUGUUCCUGUGCGAGGCUCCAGACGGACACCAUGGGCUGUUCUUUGAGCUCUUUGGAAACAAAACUCUGGUGGACACAGUUCAGCACCAAACUGAGGAAUGCGGUGCCAUUUUUACCGUGAAUCGCAAAGAUGUGACCCAAGAAAAGCCUUUCUGCUGCCUUUACAUGGAUGCUCGGCGCAUGCCCAGUGCUUUCAGCACUUACGUGUACGCUAAACUGGAUGAGGAGGCCAGUCCUCUCCCCCCUCCUGUGCUGGAGUCCUCCAGCAGUGAGGUCCAGCGUGGUCAGAUGCUGUCCUUCAACUGCUCCGCACCUCUGUGCCUCCGCCCGAAGCUCUUCCAGCUGCUCAGACGGAGCGCCGGGAGCGCCGGGAGCGCCGGGAGUCCCCUCGACCUGCUGGGCCCCGGCGCCGUGGUGUCCAGCUCUCCCGACCCCAUCUUCCGCGUGGGCCCGCUGGACGGGGGACUCUACUCCUGCCUCUAUCAGAUGAGCCUCCCAACAGACCUGAGGAUCAUAUCCAGCGCCAGUCAAGCUGUACAAGUCACUGUUUUACAUGAGCCAAACACAGCAGACGAGCCCACAGAUUGGCCCUUCAUCGUGGGGGCCCUAACGGCAGCGGUGCUCUUCCUGGCGGUAGUGGUGGGACUGAGCCUCGCUGUACACAAGAAAGUGCGCGAGGUGGCCCAGGAGAAGAAGAGAAGGGAGGAUGCUAAGUUUUGGAGUACAGUGCAUGCAAGAGACCAUGUAGUAGAUCUCCCUAUUACGCGCCUGAGCAGCUUCUUCAAGGUAACCCUCCCCUUCUCUCUCUCGCCCGGAGCUGGGACUCGUCUCACGCUCCCAGUGUUUCUGCACUCAUGGGUUUGGCUUCUAAGCAUAAAGGUGCUGUACAGUAGAUCUGAAGUGGUGAGAAUGAGAAAGAGAGAGAGAGGGCUCAUCUCAGAUCGUUCUCCACAGAGCGAGCCCAUCAUUACAGCCCCGUCCUAA
ensembl:lncRNA